AUUUACUCCGUUUCUGCUUUUCUUGACUCAUCGACGGAAAUGUUAUCAGCGUACGUUGCAGCAUAUAUUGUAUGUGCGGGACACGUAUUCGACUGAAGGUCUCGGUGAAUGAAUUUGGAUGCAGAGUGUUUUGUGAUACUUGCCGCCGUGCUUACCUCUGUAAAUUUGAGGGUGGAAGCGACCGAGCCAUCCCGUACCUGACGCCGGCGUUUAUGAAAUUGCGAAUCAUGUUUGGAGUUGCAGCUGUCCCAAAAUAAACGCAGUAUCGUGCGCCUUCGAACACCUCAAAGUCGAAGCACGUUGCAUUGAUUGCAGGAAAAUUUCCAGGAACCAGCCUAUCGGGCCAGUGCCAGUACCAAUACCAGAACCGCCACUGGUUCAGGGGGCACAAAGCUUUUGUCCAAUCCUAGGAAGAAUGCACCAGAUUAGAGUCUCAGCAGGGAACGUGGGUGUAAAGUUUCGAUGUAGCCAUUGCGGUAUCAAACAGAUUUUUGCCUUCAAAGAGCAGCAGCAGCCCCUGCCCCAGCUGGGUAAUUGAACUAGAGCUUUUGUUAGUUUUUUUUUUAUUGAGAAAGAGCUUUGGCAGUUAUGUCUAGAACUUUAAAUUACUAGAAGUUAAACUGCAAUUAAAUACUAUAUUACAUUGGACAAGUCAAGUUAUAAUAUAUAUAUAUAUAUAUAUAUAUAUAUAAAGAUUGUUAAUCCUUUGAUAUAUUUGGCAAAUAUAUAGCAAAAGAGUGUUAAUCUUUUGAUAUGUUUGGCUUGAGGACUAGUAGCCGUGUGGGCUCUCUAGAAGUUGACCUGUUCUCAGGUGCCCUGCUAUGCUUGUGAUUUCUAU